rnacentral:rRNA from 1 species
UACGUAGGGGCAAGCGUUGUCCGGAUUUAUUGGGCGUAAAGAGCUCGUAGGCGGUUUGGUAAGUCUGGUGUGAAACCCGCGGCUCAACUGCGGGCCUGCAGUCGAUACGGGCAGGCUAGAGUUCGGUAGGGGAGACUGGAAUUCCUGGUGUAGCGGUGAAAUGCGCAGAUAUCAGGAGGAACACCGGUGGCGAAGGCGGGUCUCUGGACAGUUCCUGACGCUGAGGCACGAAGGCCAGGGGAGCAAACGGG